rnacentral:rRNA from 1 species
UACGGGGGGGGGCAAGCGUUGUUCGGAAUUACUGGGCGUAAAGGGCUCGUAGGUGGCCAACUAAGUCAGACGUGAAAGCCCUCGGCUCAACCGAGGAAGUGCGUUCGAAACUGCAGAGCUUGAGUGCCGGAGAGGGUGGCGGAAUUCCCCAAGUAGAGGUGAAAUUCGUAGAUAUGGGGAGGAACACCGGUGGCGAAGGCGGCCACCUGGACGGUCACUGACGCUGAGACGCGAAAGCGUGGGUAGCAAACAGG